CAAUUUAGGAGGCUACUGCAAGAAUCCAGAUAAUGAGACUAUGAGCUCCUGAAGAAUGAGAUUAUCUGCUCCUCAAGACACAAAGAAUUCUUUCUUCCCCUUCACUCAAGAGACAGUGUUUCCUGCGUACGCAGUGGUGGCGGACUAUGAAUUGAGCUGGGGCAGAGAAGAUGUUGGAAGCCAGGCAUGUGAGGCAUGUGAGAUGAUGCAGCCGAGACCUGAACACAAGAUACAACCUGACCUUACCCUGAGCAGAGACAGCAGAAACAGACAACAAG